CACCGCCCGUCACACCAUGGGAGUUGAUUGCGCCAGAAGCAGGUAGCCUGACCGCAAGGGGGCGCCUACCACGGUGUGGUCAAUGACUGGGGUG
rnacentral:rRNA from 1 species